rnacentral:misc_RNA from 1 species
AAAGUCGUAACAAGGUUUCCGUAGGUGAACCUGCGGAAGGAUCAUUACCGUGGGGAUCCGUCCCCAUCGAGAUAGCACCCCCUGUUCACCACCCUCACGUUUCCUCGGCGGGCUCGCCCGCCGCCAGGACCCCCCGAAACCUCCUGCAGUAGCGGUACCGUCAGACAGACCGAAUGUCAAAACUUUCAACAACGGAUCUCUUGGUUCUG